UGUAAUGUUAUUGGACUUCUUUUUCUAAUCAUCAGUGUAAUAAAUGAAAAUAUUAGGUUGUCCAGAAAGUUCGUGGCAAUUUCUAAGAAACAUUCAAAAACACGUUUGAAUUUUAAUAUAUAUUUAUUGAAUUACAUAGGUGCCAUUUUGUUCCACAACCUUUUCACCCUUUAAGAGAUGUAUGCAUGUUAUUUGUUUUCAACCACUUCGAUACAUUCAGACCUGUACCAUCUACCAAAAAUCGGCAUGGACUUUCCGGACAACCCAUACAUUUUCUUUGCCUUAUUAUCAUAGGGAAAGAGUCACGUCGAUAUUAUCGAGGUCUCUGUUCUAUGAAGGUCGGAUAAUUAUGAGUCAACCUAUUACUUGAAUAAUGUGUGUCUGGAUGCCACAAAAGUGACCAUAUGUUGUAUCCUUUUUUAUCUUUUUUGAAAAAAAUUCACUAGACAACCUGUGUUUCCAUGAAUUUUAAUCAGAAAGGUCCCUUAAAGGUUUGGCCAAUCCUUUGGUUAUACGAGAAUUGGGUAAGGAAGGUCAGUUAUCUGUCACGCUGACACUCGGUUCGCUGAAUAACUGAUAAACCAACCAUAUCCACCGCUGUCAUUAUCCACUUGCGUUUGUGUCACGUCCCUCUCCCAACUUACGCUACUUCCCUGUAGUACGUGUGCUCGUAAAAGUAAAUCGCAUAAUCGGAUAACGAGAGCUACCUCCUUGGAGAUUGAAUGAAUAACACGCGAUAACUCGAUUCUCAAACUAAGCCUCUUCGACUUCCUCCUUUUCUUCCUCUUAUACUUCGCCAAAGUUCACCACACCGAUUACAAUAUAAACAAAAAUAUUUCUUGUAAAUGAUAACAGUACUUGUGAAUUACUCAUCUUUAUUUUGUACAAUACGAAAUCCACGAAACAAGAAAGAGAAAACUUGUUUCAAACGUUCUAAUCGAUGUUGAAUUCAAUCCAAAGGCAUUCUCUAGCUCUUCAAUACAGAUCUACUGGUGUUGCUAUCAAUGUGUUAAAUUUUACACAGAACGAUCAUUACCAAAGUAUACGAAAAGACUGCAAGUGCUUCGAGUGCUUGUUACAAUAAUAGAGGAUUUCUUAUUGCAAACAUGCAAACUCAAAGUGUCAUUGAAAGAGUGUCUACAAAUUCUGAAUCUUAUAAAUGGUCACUUUCAUAGCAUAUGUACAUUCAGUUCCUACCGCUAUAUUUGACAUUUCUGCUCCUCCUUUGCGAUAAGAUCCUUCUUACCGUUACAUGUAAUGGCCAUAAGCACCCUCCGAGCCAUAUACUAUAUUAGGAACUUGGAUGUGAAGUGCGGGUCGGUACAGAGAAUUACCCAUUUGACCUCUUAUCUAUUUUUCACGUUUGGCUGGGUUAUCGACACACAGCCCGCUACCGUUAUCACUGGCUAAAUAUUUAAAUCAAUUACAUUUGUCUGAAGAGAAUAAGUUAUUUCCGAAAAUAAGUGUUUUUGAUACCAAAAAUUAUUUGCUCUCAAAAAAAGGAAAGAUUAAUUAGAACACUUAAUAAUUUCACAGAGCGUUUCUAUGGUUUUCGAAGGCCGAGAGUUCUAAUCUUCCUAACAAUCGUGCAAUUUCGUCGCAUGGACAUGCUACGCUUGUGCUAUUUAAUUAUUAAUUAUCUACAGGUUGUAAUCGUUUUCGUUUACAUAAAAGUACGGUUUAUUUGGUUAAAUCUCAAAGUAAUAUAAAUUAAAAUAAUAAUAUAAAUUUUAAAAAUAGUACUAUAAAUUGUUACGAUAAGCUUUCAACAUUUCUUUUGUUUUAACUUAAUCACAUUUCAUGACGUCUAACGUCCAAUUAAUUUAACGUGACGUAUCAACGAUACGACAGAUAUUUAUAGUUACGAAAAUAUCUCGUACCAAAUAAAAGAAGUUUGAGAUUAAAUUAUUCCAAAAACAUAAUUACAAUUAAUUGGUGCCUUAAUAAUUAAUAUUUCACAUUUUUACACUGGUAAUCGUAGAAUCAUAAUGAUAGGAGUUAGAAAGUAAAUAACUUCUUCAUUUCAUGUCUUUCAAUAUCAAUACUUUAAAUUAAAUAGUAACGGAAUAGUUCGGAAGAAGCUAACUUCAGAGUAAAAUAUUUUUGUGCACAUUAAUAAUGAUAAUACUGACGAUGAGUGGAGGAUAUUUAUCUAUAACUGUAUUAAUUGCAAAUAUCUCAAUGUAAACCUAUGCAUCUCCUAAAAUAAAAACUCGUAGACAAAGAAGUAGAAUAAAUUCUCUAUCUCCUCUCAGAAGGAAAAGAGUUAAUAAAACCUCUGUUUUUCAUCUUCGAUUAUUCAAUAUUUAUCGCUAAUCUUUUAUUCUUGUCAUUUUGUUUUAUUGUGCAAACUUGUUUUCUGAUCAUUUUUGUUUCCGUUUCUAAUUCUGCCAAGUAACUUUGACCACGAUGUGUCGAAAGGUAUUGUGACGUAAUCCUCUUUCCCGAUUCAUCCGAUAGCUCGCGGACCACAGCUUGACAAACACUAGUCUGUAUUAUCGGCAGCAUUCAUUUCAUCACAUGUAUUAUACACUAUAGCUUAUAUAUUAUUCAUGUGAUCAAUUCGAUUGGACGACUUUGCUUGCAUUAGCUUCCCGUCUAGUAGGUAAACGAUCAGGCUCGCAGCUAUUUACGAAUCUAUCAGUUCAUCCAACGCUUCGUAUGAUAACGUGCACAAGUAUAAAUAACGAUAGCUGGAUGACAGCUACAAACACAGAUACGUUAACCACUAACAAGAGCUGAUCAGUCAUAAAUUUGCUUAAAAACACCUCGCACCGCUGCGGCUCCAUCCGUCAGAGAAUUUUUAUUUAGUAGCGCCAUGUCUUCAUUAUCUCCUACCAAUAAGAAGUACACGACUCGUUCGCCAGAGCGCAUCGAAGAGUCCGAAACGUUCGCAGACGGUUGCCAUACUUUCGGUUGUCGAUCAUCCGCCGCUUCGACCACCGCCAUUUUUCCAUCUCGAGUAUCCAAAUUCAAUAACCGCACCUAUGAUAAUUCGUCCACGGUGGUCUAAGUGGGCAAAAUAGCCGAACCAACACCGAGAUACUUCUAAAAAGAAAUGCACACAAGCUCCCAAGAACAGCUGUGAAUUAAGUAAAAAGUAAAUGUAAUGCAUUCUCCGUACACGAAGCAUCCGUCCAGUCGCUAUUCGUGUGAAUAAUUCCAUCCAAUAAUUCAGUUUCCCGUGGGCACCAGAACAGACCAGUCCACGCGUCCACGCGAUCACGAUACUUCCAACUGUUCAUUCUAAUCGUCUCGUCUUAUCGGCCGCUCCACUAAACGGUCAAUUGACUUGGGUAAUUACCUAAACUCAGAAGCGAGUUUAGAGCAACGAAAGAUCCCCCUAUAAAAUCAUUCUAACAUUACCUAAGCCAAGGAACAGAUAGGAGUCGAUCGUAACAGGAUGGCAUGAUCUUGAAACCUUGAAGAAGAAACUUA